AGAGGAAAUCUAAUGAAGCUGAAGUUGAGUCUUUGCGAGAAGAAUACCAUCAAAGAGUUGCAACUCUUGAGAGGAAGGUUUAUGCUCUCACCAAAGAGCGGGAUACACUUAGAAGAGAACAGAACAAGAAAAGUGAUGCUGCGGCCCUUUUGAA